rnacentral:miRNA from 1 species
CUGGGCAUGGCUCUAUGUCAUG